AGAGUUUGAUCAUGGCUCAGAUUGAACGCUGGCGGCAGGCUUAACACAUGCAAGUCGAACGGUAACAGAACUAGCUUGCUAGUUGCUGACGAGUGGCGGACGGGUGAGUAACGCGUAGGAAUCUACCGAAUAGUGGGGGACAACAGUUGGAAACGGCUGCUAAUACCGCAUACGCCCUACGGGGGAAAGGAGGGGAUCUUCGGACCUUUCGCUAUUUGAUGAGCCUGCGUGAGAUUAGUUAGUUGGUGGGGUAAUGGCUCACCAAGGCGACGAUCUCUAGCUGGUCUGAGAGGAUGAUCAGCCACACUGGGACUGAGACACGGCCCAGACUCCUACGGGAGGCAGCAGUGGGGAAUAUUGCACAAUGGGGGAAACCCUGAUGCAGCCAUGCCGCGUGUGUGAAGAAGGCCUUCGGGUUGUAAAGCACUUUCA
rnacentral:rRNA from 1 species